rnacentral:rRNA from 1 species
GACGAACGCUGGCGGCGUGCUUAACACAUGCAAGUCGAACGGAAAGGCCCUGCUUUUGUGGGGUUCUCGAGUGGCGAACGGGUGAGUAACACGUGAGUAACCUGCCCUUGACUUUGGGAUAACUUCAGGAAACUGGGGCUAAUACCGGAUAGGAGCUCCUGCUGCAUGGUGGGGGUUGGAAAGUUUCGGCGGUUGGGGAUGGACUCGCGGCUUAUCAGCUUGUUGGUGGGGUAGUGGCUUACCAAGGCUUUGACGGGUAGCCGGCCUGAGAGGGUGACCGGCCACAUUGGGACUGAGAGACGGCCCAGAGUCCUACGGGAGGCAGCAGUGGGGAAUAUUGCACAAUGGGCGGAAGCCUGAUGAAGAAACGCCGCGUGCGGGAUGACGGCCUUCGGGUUGUAAACCGCUUUCGCCUGUGACGAAGCGUGAGUGACGGUAAUGGGUAAAGAAGCACCGGCUAACUACGUG